rfam:Solanum tuberosum cultivar DM 1-3 516 R44 scf00014_218, whole genome shotgun sequence.
AUGUCAUGAUUUGGGCAUUGAUUGAUCAGUUCAUUAAACCUUGCCCAUGAUUUGUGGAUUUGUUCACCCUUCCCUUGUUUGAAGGUGAGGAUACGAUCCCUGAACAU